AACCAACCUUUCAAAGAAUCCUCCCCCCGGUGGGGGCGCUCUCUCUAAAUUAAACUGCCAUUUCACACACCUUGGUAUCAUAAUUUGACCUACAACCUCAAGAUCAUGAACCCAACCUAACCAUUGCUUCAAAUAUUUUCCUUUUAGUUCAGAAUCCCAAUCUACUUUGUCCAAAUACAGUGCUUGAAACAACAUCUUAAU